rnacentral:rRNA from 1 species
GAUGAACGCUGGCGGCGUGCCUAAUACAUGCCAGUCGAGCGAACAGACGAGGAGCUUGCUCCUUUGACGUUAGCGGCGGACGGGUGAGUAACACGUGGGUAACCUACCUAUAAGACUGGGAUAACUUCGGGAAACCGGAGCUAAUACCGGAUAAUAUUUCGAACCGCAUGGUUCGAUAGUGAAAGAUGGCUUUGCUAUCACUUAUAGAUGGACCUGCGCCGUAUUAGCUAGUUGGUAAGGUAACGGCUUACCAAGGCAACGAUACGUAGCCGACCUGAGAGGGGGAUCGGCCACACUGGAAGUGAGACACGCUCCAGACUCCUACGGGAGCGAGCAGUAGGGAAUCUUGCGCAAUGGGCGAAAACCUGACGGAGCAACGCCGAGUGAGUGAUGAAGGUCUUCGGAUCGUAAAACUCUGUUAUUAGGGAAGAACAAACGUGUAAGUAACUGUGCACGUCUUGACGGUACCUAAUCAGAAAGCCACGGCUAACUACGUG